UGUGUGUGGUCUACAUAAUAUGCCCAAAUUAGUUGUAUCAUACCGUUAAUAUGUUAAUUCAAUGUGUUAAACGUCACGUUUAAAUUUUCUUUAUACAGCAUAUUCAUAUUUUACAAUUAAUGCAUUAUCUGCCAUGUCAGCCACAAGUUUCUAAUUUGUUAAACGUCAAACAUACAAGAAUGUUUGUUAUAGUAAGGAGCUUGCAAGGCUCAGAUUUCAUAAAGUGAUAAAUUAACUGUUAGUGAUUUUAUUUAAAAAUUAUUAUGCA
rnacentral:lncRNA from 1 species